GAUGAACGCUGGCGGCGUGCCUAAUACAUGCAAGUCGAGCGGUAAGGCUUUACACAGUUUGUUUAAACGGCAAAGACAGGUCGCGAUUACGAAGUAAUCGUUUCUUAUACGAAGAAUAAACGCUUCGGUCUAAACCACUCUUUAUCUGGCUAGAUAAACGAGUUUGAACAAAGUGUGUAGAGUACACGAGCGGCGGACGGCUGAGUAAUGCAUUGGAACGUACCCCAAACUGAGGGAUAAUCCACCGAAAGGUGGACUAAUACCGCAUGUACCAUUCGUGGUAAAGCUACGGCGGUUUGGGAGCGGCCAAUGUUCGAUUAGCUAGUUGGUGAGGUAAUAGCUCACCAAGGCUACGAUCGAUAGCGGGUCUGAGAGGAUGAUCCGCCAGACUGGAACUGAGACACGGUCCAGACUCCUACGGGAGGCAGCAGUAGGGAAUUUUCCACAAUGGGGGCAACCCUGAUGGAGCAACGCCGCGUGCAGGAUGAAGGCCCUCGGGUCGUAAACUGC
rnacentral:rRNA from 1 species